GCGUGAGGGAAGAAGGUCUUCGGAUUGUAAACCUCUGUCCUUGGGGACGAAAAAAAUGACGGUACCCAAGGAGGAAGCUCCGGCUAACUACGUGCCAGCAGCCGCGGUAAUACGUAGGGAGCGAGCGUUGUCCGGAAUUACUGGGCGUAAAGGGUGCGUAGGCGGCUUGGCAAGUCAGAUGUGAAAUCCCCGGGCUUAACUCGGGGGGUGCAUUUGAAACUGCUUGGCUUGAGUGCAGGAGAGGAAAGCGGAAUUCCUAGUGUAGCGGUGAAAUGCGU
rnacentral:rRNA from 1 species